rnacentral:misc_RNA from 1 species
AACUUUUAACAACGGAUCACUUGGCUCUCGCAUCGAUGAAGAACGCAGCGAAAUACGAUACGUAAUGUGAAUUGCAGAAUUCAGUGAAUCAUCGAAUCUUUGAACGCACCUUGCGCCCCUUGGAAUUCCGAGGGGCACACCCGUUUGAGUGUCGUGAACAUCCUUCAACCUUUCUUGGUUUCUUAACCGGGGAAGGCUUGGACUUUGGGGGUCUUUCAUUGCUGGCCUCUUUGAAGCCAGCUCCUCCUAAAUGGAUUAGUGUGGUCUGCUUUGCCGAUCCUUGACGUGAUAAGAUGUUUCUACGUCUUGGGUUUCGCACUGUCGUUUUAGACCCCGCUUCUAACCGUCUUGCAUUCAAGACAGAGUUUUAAACCUUGACCUCAAAUCGGGUGAGACUACCCGCUGAACUUAAGCAUAUCAAUAAGCGGAGGCU